GACGAACGCUGGCGGCGUGCCUAAUACAUGCAAGUCGAACGCUGAGGCGGGGGCUUUCUUCUCUGGACGAGUUGCGCACGGGUGAGUAACACGUGGGUAACCUGCCCGUUAGCGGGGGAUAACUCUUGGAAACGCUAGCUAAUACCGCAUAUUAGUUGAUGUUGCAUGACGUUUGAUUGAAAGAUGCAGUUGCAUCACUACCAGUUGGACCUGCGUUGUAUUAGGUAGUUGGUGGGGUAAAGGCUCACCAAGGCGACGAUACAUCGCCGACCUGAGAGGGGGAGCGGCCACACUGGGACGGAGACACGGCCCAGGCUGCUAAGGGAGGGAGCAGGAGGGAAACGUCGGGAAGGGGCGGAAGGCUGAGCGAAGAACGCCGGGGGAGGGAAGAAGGGUUUCGGGUCGGAAAGCUCGGUUGUAAGAGAAGAAAGAGUGGUAGAGUGGAAAGUGCACAUUGUGACGGUACCUUAUCAGAAAGCGACGGCUAACUACGUG
rnacentral:rRNA from 1 species